GCUUACGACCACACUACGUUGAAAGCACGACAUCUCGUCCGAUCUGUCAAAUUAAGCAACGUUAGGCCUUGUUAGUACUUGGAUCGGAGGCGGCCUGGGAUUACAUGAUGAUAAACA
rfam:Loa loa cont3.8187, whole genome shotgun sequence.